UAAAAGUAAAAAUAAUUGAAAGAAAGAGAACACAAAAUUGUUUGCAAAAGCUGUCCUUUAUCGAUGAUGAAAAUAAUUGCGAAAUGUAACUAAAUGGAUGGCCCUACAGAUGAGUCAUAAAGCUGUCCUUUAUCGAUGAUGAAAAUAAUUGCGAAAUGUAACUAAAUGGAUGGCCCUACAGAUGAGUCAUUACACCUUGGUCAAAGUGUAAGACUUUGUUAUGCAUGUGAUAAAAGG
rnacentral:lncRNA from 1 species